GACGAACGCUGGCGGCGUGCUUAACACAUGCAAGUCGAACGGAAAGGCCCUGCUUUUGUGGUGUGCUCGAGUGGCGAACGGGUGUGUAACACGUGAGUAACCUGCCCUUGACUUUGGGAUAACUUCAGGAAACUGGGGCUAAUACCGGAUAGGAGCUCCUGCUGCAUGGUGGGGGUUGGAAAGUUUCGUCGGUUGGGGAUGGACUCGCGGCUUAUCAGCUUGUUGGUGGGGUAGUGGCUUACCAAGGCUUUGACGGGUAGCCGGCCUGAGAGGGUGACCGGCCACAUUGGGACUGAGAUACGGCCCAGACUCCUACGGGAGGCAGCAGGGGGGAAUAUUGCACAAUGGGCGGAAGCCUGAGGCAGCAACGCCGCGUGCGGGAGGACGGCCUUCGGGUUGUAAACCGCUUUCGCCUGUGACGAAGCGUGAGUGACGGUAAUGGGUAAAGAAGCACCGGCUAACUACGUG
rnacentral:rRNA from 1 species